GAUGAACGCUGGCGGCGUGCUUAACACAUGCAAGUCGAACGAAGCAUUUGCGACAGAUUUUUUCGGAAUGAAGUUGCUUAUGACUGAGUGGCGGACGGGUGAGUAACGCGUGGGUAACCUGCCUUGUACUGGGGGAUAGCAGCUGGAAACGGCUGGUAAUACCGCAUAAGCGCACAAUGUUGCAUGACAUGGUGUGAAAAACUCCGGUGGUAUAAGAUGGACCCGCGUCUGAUUAGCUAGUUGGUGAGAUAACAGCCCACCAAGGCGACGAUCAGUAGCCGAGCUGAGAGGCUGACCGGCCACAUUGGGACUGAGACACGGCCGAGACUCCUACGGGAGGCAGGAGAGGGGAAUAUUGCAAAAUCGAGGAAACGCUGAUGCAGCGACGCCGCGUGAGUGAAGAAGUAAGUCGUUAUGUAAAGCUCGAUCAGCAGGGAAGAUAGUGACGGUACCUGACUAAGAAGCGCCGGCUAAAUACGUG
rnacentral:rRNA from 1 species